AUACAACUUUCAGCAACGGAUCUCUUGGCUCUCGCAUCGAUGAAGAACRCAGCGAAAUGCGAUAAGUAAUGUGAAUUGCAGAAUUCAGUGAAUCAUCGAAUCUUUGAACGCACCUUGCGCUCCUUGGUAUUCCGAGGAGCAUGCCUGUUUGAGUGUCAUUA
rnacentral:rRNA from 1 species